rnacentral:rRNA from 1 species
GCAACCCUUAUCCUUUGUUGCCAGCGGUCCGGCCGGGAACUCAAAGGAGACUGCCAGUGAUAAACUGGAGGAAGGUGGGGAUGACGUCAAGUCAUCAUGGCCCUUACGACCAGGGCUACACACGUGCUACAAUGGCGCAUACAAAGAGAAGCGACCUCGCGAGAGCAAGCGGACCUCAUAAAGUGCGUCGUAGUCCGGAUUGGAGUCUGCAACUCGACUCCAUGAAGUCGGAAUCGCUAGUAAUCGUGGAUCAGAAUGCCACGGUGAAUACGUUCCCGGGCCUUGUACACACCGCCCGUCACACCAUGGGAGUGGGUUGCAAAAGAAGUAGGUAGCUUAACCUUCGGGAGGGCGCUUACCACUUUGUGAUUCAUGACUGGGGUGAAGUCGUAACAAGGUAACCGUAGGGGAACCUGCGGUUGGAUCACCUCCUUACCUGAAAGAA